GCAAUAAACCCAAACUUGCAUAGAUAUAGUCAACUAUGAAGAGCUUGAACAGUGUUUUCAGGACUGACAUUUACAGACGAGUGGGAAAUCAAAGACUGGAAUGCUGGGAGAACGCUGGGGAAACUGACGAAGGGGUGAGCUCUGGAAAGGAGGAAGGAUACUUCCUGUUCCUGCUGGAGUGACCCACAGGUCUGAGGAUGAGUGAGGGAGGGGAAGGCGGAGAAAGAAGGUGGCCAGAUGAGUGGCAGGGAUCCAGAGGGUUCCACCG